rnacentral:rRNA from 2 species
CCGCGUGAGUGAAGAAGGGUUUCGGCUCGUAAAACUCUGUUGUUAAAGAAGAACAUAUCUGAGAGUAACUGUUCAGGUAUUGACGGUAUUUAACCAGAAAGCCACGGCUAACUACGUGCCAGCAGCCGCGGUAAUACGUAGGUGGCAAGCGUUGUCCGGAUUUAUUGGGCGUAAAGCGAGCGCAGGCGGUUUUUUAAGUCUGAUGUGAAAGCCUUCGGCUUAACCGAAGAAGUGCAUCGGAAACUGGGAAACUUGAGUGCAGAAGAGGACAGUGGAACUCCAUGUGUAGCGGUGAAAUGCGUAGAUAUAUGGAAGAACACCAGUGGCGAAGGCGGCUGUCUGGUCUGUAACUGACGCUGAGGCUCGAAAGUAUGGGUAGCAAACAGGAUUAGAUACCCUGGUAGUCCAUACCGUAAACGAUGAAUGCUAAGUGUUGGAGGGUUUCCGCCCUUCAGUGCUGCAGCUAACGCAUUAAGCAUUCCGCCUGGGGAGUACGGCCGCAAGGCUGAAACUCAAAGGAAUUGACGGGGGCCCGCACAAGCGGUGGAGCAUGUGGUUUAAUUCGAAGCUACGCGAAGAACCUUACCAGGUCU